GAGGGAAGAGCGCGGUCCCGCCGCGGGCAGCGGGGAAAUGCCCCUUCAGCAGCUCCGCGGGAAGCGGGGCUGUCGAGGAUGGACUCCAGUGAGUUGUGAAGAAGUGGAGAAGGAGCAGGCAACAGAACAACUGCUUUGCACUUGUACCAGAUCAUUCAUAAUGGCAUCAGGUCAGAGAAGCAAUCGUGUAAUGGAAACCUGCUGACAGGGACUCAGAGGAAUUAAUAUGAGAAACAAUCAGCUAUGGAGUGUCACCACACACUCUGGAGCCAAAGCCUUACAACAAGCAAGCAGCUGGAAUAUUUUACAGGAGUCAGUGACUGCUUAGUACUGUGCAGCCACUGACAAGCAUAACAAAAUGCUUCUAGAAGGAAUAUUCAUGUUCAUUUGUUAUAGGAAAGCUGUGCAAGCGUUUUUGAACCUGCUAGGAAGGGUUUUGUCCCUUUGACUUAUCAGGCUCCACUCUUAACCACAAUGGGACAUGAGGAUAGAUAGACUGAAUUGAACUUGUGUGACAAGUCCUACAAACAGAAUCAAGGGAAUUGUCUUUAGCUGAGCUACUAAUUUCAGCCUGAAAAUUGUGAAAAUUACAUAUGUAACUCUGAUUUAAAAUAAAAUGUAACUUCAACUAUAGGAGA